GGGAAAUGUAGUGCAAACAUUCGCCGCUGCGGGGCAGCCGCGUCCUCAGCGCGGCUCUGGACCCGGGAUUAGAUGGUGGCCGCCGCCAGGGACAGUAGAGAGCCCGGGGCCUAGUUGGUAUUCCACUGCCUCUGCUCACAGAGGUCCAGGGGCAUUUCAGUCGAGGAGAUGGACUGCCUGAAGUCAGGGACCUGUCAGUCCCACAUCAGCCACAAAUUGGGCGGACGAUGUUGCGUAAGUCAUUUACGUCUCCUGCCCCUCAGCUUCUUGCACCAUUGACAAGCGCUAGAAACACCUGAACUGCCAAACCUUCGGGGCCAUGGAGACUUCCGAGUGAGUUAAUGUAUGAGGAACCCCUGAGGAAGAAUAAAGCACUGAUCAUAUAACAGCAAGAGUAGAGCUGGCGUUAACUGAGCAGUUACUCUGUGCUGAGUGCUUCACUACGGUUAUCUCAUUUAAACCUCACAGAAACCUCACAACCAGUCCGUUAUUAAUCACAGUUUAUUCAUAUGAAUAAAAAGAUUACAUAAUUUGCCCACAGCCUCUCGGUAAGAGCGGAGGUAGGAUUUAAACUCAGGCUGCCCCGCUCCAGACCCAAACUCAACAGUGAGGACCAGUCAGCAUUUGAGGGCCCAGUGAUCGUCAUUUUAAACGUGUCAGCCCAUUUCACCGGUAGCCAUAAUUAGGCACCAUUGUGACCCUCUCAGCUAGCCCAGCUAUCGAGGAAGGGCGUCACAGAAAUGACUCUGCUUCCUGCACAGGCCCUGGGCUUCCCAGGAGGCCUUCUGACAUUCCAAACCUGGGGGAACCCAAGGACUGAGAAGUCAGAGCAGAGACACAGAGAAAGACCCAAGUUCUCGGCUUGCCAACCUUGACGUAUUUAUGGGGCACACUGCAGGCACAUCGCCCACUCCCUGGAAGAGACGUGGGGUGCACAGGCGAGCGUGCAUGUUCACUGUCUUAGCCGUCUGAGCCUCCUUUCAGGGGAGUGAGAGAAGCAGUGCCGGGGGCUAGAAGAUCCUUCCACAGCAGAGAAUAUCACUCUUCAGAUAGGUCCCCCACACUAGAUGGGCCCAAAGGCACAAAUGAACAUUUCCAACUGUAUGUUCUUCAG